rnacentral:rRNA from 1 species
UGGAGAGUUUGAUCCUGGCUCAGGACGAACGCUGGCGGCGUGCUUAACACACGCAAGUCGAACGGUAAGGCCCCUUCGGGGGUACACGAGUGGCGAACGGGUGAGUAACACGUGGGUAAUCUGCCCUGCACUUCGGGAUAAGCCUGGGAAACUGGGUCUAAUACCGGAUAUGAACUCCUGCCGCAUGGUGGGGGUUGGAAAGUUUUUCGGUGCAGGAUGAGCCCGCGGCCUAUCAGCUUGUUGGUGGGGUAAUGGCCUACCAAGGCGACGACGGGUAGCCGGCCUGAGAGGGUGAUCGGCCACACUGGGACUGAGACACGGCCCAGACUCCUACGGGAGGCAGCAGUGGGGAAUAUUGCACAAUGGGCGAAAGCCUGAUGCAGCGACGCCGCGUGGGGGAUGACGGUCUUCGGAUUGUAAACCCCUUUCAGUAGGGACGAAGCGCAAGUGACGGUACCUGCAGAAGAAGCACCGGCUAACUACGUGCCAGCAGCCGCGGUA